AUUGAACGCUGGCGGCAGGCUCAACACAUGCAAGUCGAGCGGGGUGAUGGUGCUCGCACUAUCACUUAGCGGCGGACGGGUGAGUAAUGCUUAGGAAUCUGCCUAUUAGUGGGGGACAACAUCUCGAAAGGGAUGCUAAUACCGCAUACGUCCUACGGGAGAAAGCAGGGGAUCACUUGUGACCUUGCGCUAAUAGAUGAGCCUAAGUCGGAUUAGCUAGUUGGUGGGGUAAAGGCCUACCAAGGCGACGAUCUGUAGCGGGUCUGAGAGGAUGAUCCGCCACACUGGGACUGAGACACGGCCCAGACUCCUACGGGAGGCAGCAGUGGGGAAUAUUGGACAAUGGGGGGAACCCUGAUCCAGCCAUGCCGCGUGUGUGAAGAAGGCCUUAUGGUUGUAAAGCACUUUAAGCGAGGAGGAGGCUCUUUUGGUUAAUACCCAAGAUGAGUGGACGUUACUUGCAGAAUAAGCACCGGCUAACUCUGUGCCAGCCGCCGCGGUAA
rnacentral:rRNA from 1 species